rnacentral:rRNA from 1 species
UUCAUUAGCCAUGUCCCACUGAAUGGGACUGAUCUAGUCUGAUCUCAGAAAGUAAGCAGGGUUGGGCCCAAUUGAUUUAUGGAU